UGCAUGGUGAAUACAUAGCCAUGCAAGGCGAACCGGGGGAACUGAAACAUCUAAGUACCCCGAGGAAAAGAAAUCAACCGAGAUUCCCCCAGUAGCGGCGAGCGAACGGGGAGGAGCCCAGAACCUGAAUCAGCGUAUGUGUUAGUGGAAGCGUCUGGAAAGUCGCACGGUACAGGGUGAUAGUCCCGUACACAAAAAUGCAUAUGUUGUGAGUUCGAUGAGUAGGGCGGGACACGUGACAUCCUGUCUGAAUAUGGGGGGACCAUCCUCCAAGGCUAAAUACUCCUGACUGACCGAUAGUGAACCAGUACCGUGAGGGAAAGGCGAAAAGAACCCCGGCGAGGGGAGUGAAACAGAACCUGAAACCGUGUACGUACAAGCAGUGGGAGCACCUUCGUGGUGUGACUGCGUACCUUUUGUAUAAUGGGUCAGCGACUUAUAUUUUGUAGCAAGGUUAACCGAAUAGGGGAGCCGUAGGGAAACCGAGUCUUAACUGGGCGAAUAGUUGCAAGGUAUAGACCCGAAACCCGGUGAUCUAGCCAUGGGCAGGUUGAAGGUUGGGUAACACUAACUGGAGGACCGAACCGACUAAUGUUGAAAAAUUAGCGGAUGACUUGUGGCUGGGGGUGAAAGGCCAAUCAAACCGGGAGAUAGCUGGUUCUCCCCGAAAGCUAUUUAGGUAGCGCCUCGUGAACUCAUCUUCGGGGGUAGAGCACUGUUUCGGCUAGGGGGUCAUCCCGACUUACCAAACCGAUGCAAACUCCGAAUACCGAAGAAUGUUAUCACGGGAGACACACGGCGGGUGCUAACGUCCGUCGUGAAGAGGGAAACAACCCAGACCGCCAGCUAAGGUCCCAAAGUCAUGGUUAAGUGGGAAACGAUGUGGGAAGGCACAGACAGCCAGGAUGUUGGCUUAGAAGCAGCCAUCAUUUAAAGAAAGCGUAAUAGCUCACUGGUCGAGUCGGCCUGCGCGGAAGAUGUAACGGGGCUAAACCAUGCACCGAAGCUGCGGCAGCGAACGUAUCACUUAAAACGCUUAACGUGACGGCAAAGCCGGCAUGUUCAAGCCACACUAAACGUUGAGUUGGCCGAUGUGCUGACAAACGAACAGGCGUUUUAAGGAUACGUUCGUUGGGUAGGGGAGCGUUCUGUAAGCCGUUGAAGGUAGUCUGUGAGGGCUGCUGGAGGUAUCAGAAGUGCGAAUGCUGACAUAAGUAACGAUAAUGCGGGUGAAAAACCCGCACGCCGGAAGACCAAGGGUUCCUGUCCAACGUUAAUCGGGGCAGGGUGAGUCGACCCCUAAGGCGAGGCUGAAAAGCGUAGUCGAUGGGAAACAGGUUAAUAUUCCUGUACUUGGUGUUACUGCGAAGGGGGGACGGAGAAGGCUAGGCUAGCCGGGCGACGGUUGUCCCGGUUUAAGCAUGUAGGCGGAGUGACCAGGUAAAUCCGGUUGCUUAUCAACGCUGAGGUGUGAUGACGAUGCACUACGGUGCAGAAGUAGUUGAUGCCAUGCUUCCAGGAAAAGCCUCUAAGCAUCAGGUAACAUGAAAUCGUACCCCAAACCGACACAGGUGGUCAGGUAGAGAAUACUCAGGCGCUUGAGAGAACUCGGGUGAAGGAACUAGGCAAAAUGGUGCCGUAACUUCGGGAGAAGGCACGCUGGCAUUAGGUAAAGGGACUUGCUCCCGGCGCCGAAGCCAGUCGCAGAUACCAGCUGGCUGCAACUGUUUAAUAAAAACACAGCACUGUGCAAACACGAAAGUGGACGUAUACGGUGUGACGCCUGCCCGGUGCUGGAAGGUUAAUUGAUGGGGUCAGCCGCAAGGCGAAGCUCUUGAUCGAAGCCCCAGUAAACGGCGGCCGUAACUAUAACGGUCCUAAGGUAGCGAAAUUCCUUGUCGGGUAAGUUCCGACCUGCACGAAUGGCGUAAUGAUGGCCAGGCUGUCUCCACCCGAGACUCAGUGAAAUUGAACUCGCUGUGAAGAUGCAGUGUACCCGCGGCAAGACGGAAAGACCCCGUGAACCUUUACUAUAGCUUGACACUGAACAUUGAGCCUUGAUGUGUAGGAUAGGUGGGAGGCAUAGAAGUGUGGACGCCAGUCUGCAUGGAGCCAACCUUGAAAUACCACCCUUUAAUGUUUGAUGUUCUAACUCGGCCCCGUAAUCCGGGGUGAGGACAGUGUCUGGUGGGUAGUUUGACUGGGGCGGUCUCCUCCCAAAGAGUAACGGAGGAGCACGAAGGUUAGCUAAUCACGGUCGGACAUCGUGAGGUUAGUGCAAAGGCAUAAGCUAGCUUGACUGCGAGAGUGACGGCUCGAGCAGGUACGAAAGUAGGUCUUAGUGAUCCGGUGGUUCUGAAUGGAAGGGCCAUCGCUCAACGGAUAAAAGGUACUCCGGGGAUAACAGGCUGAUACCGCCCAAGAGUUCAUAUCGACGGCGGUGUUUGGCACCUCGAUGUCGGCUCAUCACAUCCUGGGGCUGAAGUAGGUCCCAAGGGUAUGGCUGUUCGCCAUUUAAAGUGGUACGCGAGCUGGGUUUAGAACGUCGUGAGACAGUUCGGUCCCUAUCUGCCGUGGGCGUUGGAAGAUUGAGAGGGGCUGCUCCUAGUACGAGAGGACCGGAGUGGACGAAUCACUGGUGUUCGGGUUGUCAUGCCAAUGGCAUUGCCCGGUAGCUAAAUUCGGAAGAGAUAACCGCUGAAAGCAUCUAAGCGGGAAACUUGCCUCGAGAUGAGUCUUCCCUGGGGCUUUAAGCCCCCUGAAGGAACGUUAAAGACGAUGACGUUGAUAGGCUGGGUGUGUAAGUGCAGCGAUGCAUUGAGCUAACCAGUACUAAUGAACCGUGAGGCUUAACCUU
rnacentral:rRNA from 1 species